AACGAACGCUGGCGGCAUGCCUAACACAUGCAAGUCGAACGAGACCUUCGGGUCUAGUGGCGCACGGGUGCGUAACGCGUGGGAACCUGCCCUUAGGUUCGGAAUAAAUCCCCGAAAGGGGUGCUAAUACCGGAUAAUGUCUUCGGACCAAAGAUUUAUCGCCUUUGGAUGGGCCCGCGUUGGAUUAGCUAGUUGGUAGGGUAAAAGCCUACCAAGGCGACGAUCCAUAGCUGGUCUGAGAGGAUGAUCAGCCACACUGGGACUGAGACACGGCCCAGACUCCUGCGGGAUGCAGCAGUGGGGAAUAUUGGACAAUGGGCUAAAGCCUGAUCCAGCAAUGCCGCGUGAGUGAUGAAGGCCUUAGGGUUGUAAAGCUCUUUUACCCGGGAUGAUAAUGACAGUACCGAGAGAAUAAGCACCGGCUAACUCCGUG
rnacentral:rRNA from 1 species